rnacentral:rRNA from 1 species
GGGUUAGUAGGUUGGUCAUGUCUCCGGUAUGUACUGGUCUCACUGAUUCCUCCUUCCUGAUGAGCCGUAAUGCCAUUAAUUUGGUGUUACGGGGAAUUUGGACUGUUACUUUGAAAAAAUUAGAGUGUUUAAAGCAGGCUCGCGCUUGAAUACAUUAGCAUGGAAUAAUGAAAUAGGACGUUCGAUCCUAUUUUGUUGGGUUCUAGGAUUGACGUA